AACGAACGCUGGCGGCAUGCCUAACACAUGCCAGUCGAACGACACCUUCGGGUCUAGUGGCGCACGGGUGCGUCACGCGUGGGAACCUGCCUUUAGGUUCCGAAUAACUCAGAGAAAUUUGAGCUAAUACCGGAUGAUUUCUUCGGACCCAAGAUUUAACCCCUUUAGAUGGGCCCGCGUUGGAUUAGCUAGUUGGUGGGGUAAAGGCCUACCAAGGCGACGAUCCAUAGCUGGUCUGAGAGGAUGAUCAGCCACACUGAGACUGGGACACGGCCCAGACUCCUACGGGAGGCAGGAGUGGGGAAUAUUGGAAAAUGGGGGAAAGCCUGAACCAGCAAGGCCGGGUGAGUGAUGAAGGCGGUAGGGUUGUAAAGCUCUUUUACCCGAGAUGAUAAUGACAGUAUCGGGAGAAUAAGCGCCGGCUAACUCCGUG
rnacentral:rRNA from 1 species